rnacentral:rRNA from 1 species
UCCAGCUCUAAUAGCGUAUAUUAAAGUUGUUGCAGUUAAAAAGCUCGUAGUUGGAUUUUGGUGUCGGACAGGCGGUCGGCUUUUGUCGUACUGCCCUUCUGACGCCUUCCUUCUGUGGACUGCGUCACUCUUAACUGAGGGGCGUGUGGACGCAGAUCGUUUACUGUGAGUAAAUUAGAGUGUUCAAAGCAGGCCUUACGCUUGAAUACAUUAGCAUGGAAUAAUAGAAUAGGACGUCGGGCCUAUUUUGUUGGUUUAGGGACCGUCGUAAUGAUUAAUAGGGACAGUUGGGGCCGUUCAUAUUCCGUAGUCAGAGGUGAAAUUCUUGGAUUUACGGAAGAUGAACUACUGCGAAAGCAUUCGGCAAGGAUGUUUUCGUUAAUCAAGAACGAAAGUUAGGGGAUCGAAGACGAUCAGAUACCGUCGUAGUCUUAACCAUAAACUAUGCCGACUCGGGAUCAGCAAGUGUCGUUCACGACCUCGCUGGCACCGUGUGAGAAAUCAAAGUCUUUGGGUUCCGGGGGGAGUAUGGUCGCAAGGCUGAAACUUAAAGGAAUUGACGGAAGGGCACCACCAGGAGUGGAGCCUGCGGCUUAAUUUGACUCAACACGGGGAAACUCACCAGGUCCAGACAUAGCGAGGAUUGACAGAUUGACAGCUCUUUCUUGAUUCUAUGGGUGGUGGUGCAUGGCCGUUCUUAGUUGGUGGAGUGAUUUGUCUGGUUAAUUCCGAUAACGAACGAGACCUCAGCCUACUAAAUAGUAACGCCUGCUUCGGCAGGUGGAUUACUUCUUAGAGGGACUUUUCGAGUCAUCGAAAGGAAGUUUGAGGCAAUAAC